AUCAUAUAUAGUAAUGUAAAUAUAAG
rnacentral:guide_RNA from 1 species